rnacentral:rRNA from 1 species
AAAAAAGGUAAGCUACUAAGAGCGAAUGGUGGAUGCCUUGACUGGUAAAGGCGAUGAAGGACGUACUAGACUGCGAUAAGCUACGGGGAGCUGUCAAGAAGCUUUGAUCCGUAGAUUUCCGAAUGGGGCAACCCAAUGUAUAGAGAUAUACAUUACCUAUAUAGGAGCGAACGAGGGGAAUUGAAACAUCUUAGUACCCUCAGGAAAAGAAAUCAAUAGAGAUUGCGUCAGUAGCGGCGAGCGAAAGCGCAAGAGGGCAAACCCAGUGCUUGCACUGGGGGUUGUAGGACUGCAAUGUGCAAGAGGUGAGUUUAGCAGAACAUUCUGGAAAGUAUAGCCAUAGAGGGUGAUAGUCCCGUAUGCGAAAAACAAACCUUAGCUAGCAGUAUCCUGAGUAGGGCGGGACACGAGAAAUCCUGUCUGAAGCUGGGUCGACCACGAUCCAACCCUAAAUACUAAUACCAGAUCGAUAGUGCACAAGUACCGUGAGGGAAAGGUGAAAAGAACUGAGGUGAUCAGAGUGAAAUAGAACCUGAAACCAUUUGCUUACAAUCAUUCAGAGCCCUAUGUAGCAAUACAGGGUGAUGGACUGCCUUUUGCAUAAUGAGCCUGCGAGUUGUGGUGUCUGGCAAGGUUAAGCAAACGCGAAGCCGUAGCGAAAGCGAGUCUGAAUAGGGCGCUUAGUCAGAUGCUGCAGACCCGAAACGAAGUGAUCUAUCCAUGAGCAAGUUGAAGCUAGUGUAAGAACUAGUGGAGGACUGAACCCAUAGGCGUUGAAAAGCCCCGGGAUGACUUGUGGAUAGGGGUGAAAGGCCAAUCAAACUUCGUGAUAGCUGGUUCUCUCCGAAAUAUAUUUAGGUAUAGCGUUGUGUCGUAAUAUAAGGGGGUAGAGCACUGAAUGGGCUAGGGCAUACACCAAUGUACCAAACCCUAUCAAACUCCGAAUACCUUAUAUGUAAUCACAGCAGUCAGGCGGCGAGUGAUAAAAUCCGUCGUCAAGAGGGAAACAACCCAGACUACCAGCUAAGGUCCCUAAAUCUUACUUAAGUGGAAAACGAUGUGAAGUUACUUAAACAACCAGGAGGUUGGCUUAGAAGCAGCCAUCCUUUAAAGAAAGCGUAAUAGCUCACUGGUCUAGUGAUUUUGCGCGGAAAAUAUAACGGGGCUAAAGUAAGUACCGAAGCUGUAGACUUGCGCACAACUUAGAUUAUUUAAGUUUAGAAUAUGAGAAACUAAGUUAUAUGUUUAGUUAUAUUUUUACUGAUUUUUAUAGAGUAAAGAUAGAAAUAAAACUUAGUAAAAUCAGUAAAAAUAUUCUUAGACUAAAGUUAAGUAGUUUAAGUUGUGUGCAAGUGGUAGGAGAGCGUUCUAUUUGCGUCGAAGGUAUACCGGUAAGGAGUGCUGGAGCGAAUAGAAGUGAGCAUGCAGGCAUGAGUAGCGAUAAUUAAUGUGAGAAUCAUUAACGCCGUAAACCCAAGGUUUCCUACGCGAUGCUCGUCAUCGUAGGGUUAGUCGGGUCCUAAGUCGAGUCCGAAAGGGGUAGACGAUGGCAAAUUGGUUAAUAUUCCAAUACCAACAUUAGUGUGCGAUGGAAGGACGCUUAGGGCUAAGGGGGCUAGCGGAUGGAAGUGCUAGUCUAAGGUCGUAGGAGGUUAUACAGGCAAAUCCGUAUAACAAUACUCCGAGAACUGAAAGGCUUUUUGAAGUCUUCGGAUGGAUAGAAGAACCCCUGAUGCCGUCGAGCCAAGAAAAGUUUCUAAGUUUAGCUAAUGUUGCCCGUACCGUAAACCGACACAGGUGGGUGGGAUGAGUAUUCUAAGGCGCGUGGAAGAACUCUCUUUAAGGAACUCUGCAAAAUAGCACCGUAUCUUCGGUAUAAGGUGUGGUUCGCUUCGUAUUAGGAUUUACUCCGAAAGCGAAGAAACUUACAACAAAGAGUCCCUCCCGACUGUUUACCAAAAACACAGCACUCUGCUAACUCGUAAGAGGAUGUAUAGGGUGUGACGCCUGCCCGGUGCUCGAAGGUUAAUUGAUGGGGUUAGCAUUAGCGAAGCUCUUGAUCGAAGCCCGAGUAAACGGCGGCCGUAACUAUAACGGUCCUAAGGUAGCGAAAUUCCUUGUCGGUUAAAUACCGACCUGCAUGAAUGGCGUAACGAGAUGGGAGCUGUCUCAAAGAGGGAUCCAGUGAAAUUGUAGUGGAGGUGAAAAUUCCUCCUACCCGCGGCAAGACGGAG